UGUCCUACGGGAGGCAGCAGUGGGGAAUAUUGCACAAUGGGGGAAACCCUGAUGCAGCGACGCCGCGUGAGCGAAGAAGUAUUUCGGUAUGUAAAGCUCUAUCAGCAGGGAAGAAAAAUGACGGUACCUGAGUAAGAAGCACCGGCUAAAUACGUGCCAGCAGCCGCGGUAAUACGUAGGGAGCAAGCGUUAUCCGGAAUUAUUGGGUGUAAAGGGUGCGUAGACGGUAAUGCAAGUCUGGAGUGAAAGGCGGGGGCCCAACCCCCGGACUGCUCUGGAAACUGUGUAACUGGAGUGCAGGAGAG
rnacentral:rRNA from 1 species